rnacentral:misc_RNA from 1 species
GGGGCGAGUUGGUAAGGAACUGGGCUCCAAUCUUGUUCCAAGCCGCGGAAUCAAUUGCUCAGCUCUGUCCCUGGGCUUUUCGUUUUCCCCUCCAAAAGUUUCCCUCCUCUUUAAAUCGAUUGAAUUUCUCCGUUGAAGUUGAUCGCAAUUGAUUUUAUUUGGUUUCCUUCAAAAAUCUCACAAUCUUUCUCUCUGGUAUUCUUGUGGAAUUUGGGAUUCUAAGGAUUAGGAUUCGAAGAUGGAGGAGUACUUGCAGUACAUGAAGACUCUACGCUCUCAAAUGAACGGUGCCUCUCUCUCUGCAUGAAUAUUUGAAAUCGAACACAAAACCUAACUAAGGAAUCAUUUAGUUUGUAUUUAAAAGGAAUCAUUUAGUUUGUAUAUAUGUGCGUAUAUGAUUGAAUUUUUGUAGAUGUGGAAGAUCAGGCAGCCAAGGUAUCAGUGGAAGAGCACACACAGAUCGCCACUAUUCAAACCAUGGAGACUGAUCUCAACUCUGCAAAAUCGGAGACAAGGAAACUUAAAGAAGAUACUGAGACGAUGAGACAGGCAAAAGGACAAAUUUGCUUGCAGAUAAUGGAAAAACAGAGGAAGAUAGCUUCUCUGGAGUUUGAUUUAUCUACCCUUUACCAGACUGUGGAGCUUAUUCAACAGGAAAGAGUCAGUUUAUCUGCCAAGCUCAUAGACAAGAGGUUUUGAUUCCCAAGUCCUCUUGGCAACUGCAUAAAUUUCUAUCCUCUAUGAUCUAUAUUUUGAGCUGCAAGUUAUGGCCUGCCUUUUGCUUUGGCCAGGACUGGGUCAAUUGUCACAUAAUUAGCACUGAAAUGGGAGAAGAUGCAUUGGUCAAGGAUAAUUUUGAUGAGGAAGCAGCUAAAAUUGGAGGUAUGUCUAUAUACAAACAAGGAGUUAAAAAGUGCACUUUAUUUUUGACAUAUUAUUAAGGGGCUAGAGUACUUAAGUAUGGAGUCAUGUAAAUCAUGCGCCAUAGGUGAUAGGACUACAACCUUGCUGCUACUGAUUUAUGUCUAGAAAAGAAUCAUAAACUCAAUUUCAAUUUCAAAUUUUAUCUCAGAUGCAUCAUUAAUUUGCUGGAUUUGGUGGGGAAGAACGAUUAAAUGUCUUGAGAUGCAUUAAAAGAAAUUACUAAAAUUAUUCAAGUUUUUUUACUUAGAUUUAUAUCUUGUAGAACCUAAAGUUGAUGAAGAAUAUUGUGACUUGCCUCUCUGAGUUAUUUUACUACAUUAAUAUUUCAUAAGGGCCAAUAAAAAUGAAAACUUUACUUCUGUGUCAGUUUUAGCCAAAACUUCCAAUUAUGAUCUCAAUUAUUAUAGGGAAAAAAAUUAAAAUAAACAUUUUGUAGGUUGGCGUAUUAAAGGAAUAACAAAUGAAACUAUUGUGUUAAGUUAUUUAUUAACAAUUAAUAUUAGGAUUUCAAUUUCAUACAAAUAGCUCUAGACUAAUAGUUAAAUAAGGGAUGAAUAUCAUUACAAGAAUAUCCUCUAGAUUAAUAGAAAACUUUGGCCAAAACUUUUACAAGUUCUAAAACUGAUCAGUAGGCCUUUUAAAACUUAGAAGUUCUUCAUGGUGGUGAACUUUGUGACUCUCAAUUGUGAAGGUUGAAUGUGUUUAGCAGGUAAGAUAUAUUUUUUAUGGGUUAUAAGUAGGAGACCUAGUUAACAUAUUUAUUAAAGUCACAAGGCAAGGGAGGCUCCAAGUUCUGUGCCUUAAAACUGUCCAGGAAGGUGAUGUUCAAAAGGCACACCCAGGUGAGUCGAGGCGCACCUUAGUAAGCCUAGGUGCCCAUUUUUAAGGUUGGGUCAUCUAUUUUUUCACCAUACCCAGUCGCAACAAUCAGAUGCGCUAAGGGGCUCAACUCACCACUGUUAUCAAAGGUGUGCUUGAGGAGCAGGGCCCAAGGGGCACAGGUGGUGGCGCAAGGGGCACAGGAGGUGGCGCUUGAAGGAGAAAGAGGCGUAGGACAUCACCCAGGCGCACCCAGGCAUAGCGAGGAGCGGCGAGGCACGAGGCUCGCCUAGGCACGCCAGAUAGAGUCCAGGUGCAUUUAAAAGAAAAAAUAG